rnacentral:tRNA from 1 species
AGGACUAUAGUUAACUAUAACAUCUGGGUUGCAUUCAGAAGGUGCCUAAGGCUUUUCUUA